AACAGAGGGUGCAAACGUUGUUCGGAAUUACUGGGCGUAAAGCGCGUGUAGGCGGCCAUGCAAGUCGGAUGUGAAAGCCCUCGGCUCAACCGGGGAAGUGCACUCGAAACUGCAAGGCUAGAGUCUCGGAGAGGAUCGUGGAAUUCUCGGUGUAGAGGUGAAAUGCGUAGAUAUCGGGAGGAACACCUGUGGCGAAAGCGGCGCACUGGACCACAACUGACGCUGAGGCGCGAAAGCUAGGGGAGCAAACAGG
rnacentral:rRNA from 1 species